rnacentral:rRNA from 2 species
UGGGGGAUAUUGCACAAUGGGGGAAACCCUGAUGCAGCGACGCCGCGUGGAGGAAGAAGGUUUUCGGAUUGUAAACUUCUUUUAUUAAGGACGAAACUUGACGGUACUUAAUGAAUAAGCUCCGGCUAACUACGUGCCAGCAGCCGCGGUAAUACGUAGGGAGCAAGCGUUGUCCGGAUUUACUGGGUGUAAAGGGUGCGUAGGCGGCUUUGCAAGUCAGAUGUGAAAUCUAUGGGCUCAACCCAUAAACUGCAUUUGAAACUGUAGAGCUUGAGUGAAGUAGAGGCAGGCGGAAUUCCCCGUGUAGCGGUGAAAUGCGUAGAGAUGGGGAGGAACACCAGUGGCGAAGGCGGCCUGCUGGGCUUUAACUGACGCUGAGGCACGAAAGCGUGGGUAGCAAACAGGAUUAGAUACCCUGGUAGUCCACGCUGUAAACGAUGAUUACUAGGUGUGGGGGGUCUGACCCCUUCCGUGCCGGAGUUAACACAAUAAGUAAUCCACCUGGGGAGUACGGCCGCAAGGUUGAAACUCAAAGGAAUUGACGGGGGCCCGCACAAGCAGUGGAGUAUGUGGUUUAAUUCGAAGCAACGCGAAGAACCUUACCAGGUCUUGACAUCCAACUAACGAAGUAGAGAUACAUUAGGUGCCCUUCGGGGAAAGUUGAGACAGGUGGUGCAUGGUUGUCGUCAGCUCGUGUCGUGAGAUGUUGGGUUAAGUCCCGCAACGAGCGCAACCCUUGCUAUUAGUUGCUACGCAAGAGCACUCUAAUAGGACUGCCGUUGACAAAACGGAGGAAGGUGGGGACGACGUCAAAUCAUCAUGCCCCUUAUGACCUGGGCUACACACGUACUACAAUGGAUGUUAACAGAGGGAAGCAAGACAGCGAUGUGGAGCAAACCCCUAAAAACAUUCUCAGUUCAGAUUGCAGGCUGCAACCCGCCUGCAUGAAGAUGGAAUUGCUAGUAAUCGCGGAUCAGCAUGCCGCGGUGAAUACGUUCCC